UACGUAGGGGGCAAGCGUUGUCCGGAAUCAUUGGGCGUAAAGAGCGUGUAGGCGGCCCGGUAAGUCCGCUGUGAAAGUCCAGGGCUCAACCCUGGGAUGCCGGUGGAUACUGUCGGGCUCGAGUCCGGAAGAGGCGAGUGGAAUUCCUGGUGUAGCGGUGAAAUGCGCAGAUAUCAGGAGGAACACCGGUGGCGAAGGCGGGUCUCUGGGCCAUAACUGACGCUGAGGAGCGAAAGCGUGGGGAGCGAACAGG
rnacentral:rRNA from 1 species